rnacentral:lncRNA from 1 species
CUAUACAAAAACUCAGAGUUAGUAAAUAUAAUGUUAGAGGAAUUUAGUAAUCCAACAUUACUAGAUGAACAAGUGGAUCAAGAAAACUUUGUUAAUAUAAUGUGUAACAACUAUACAGAUGACCAAAUAAUAGAACAACUCUAUAAAACCAAUUUAAUCAAAAAACUUAUAGAUAUAGAAAUGAUAAAUCAAUUUACUAUUCAACCAAAAGUUAACGAAAACAUAGAAAUAAU